CCAUAUAUUCCCGUACCCGCGAAGAAGCGCCCAUGUCGAACCCGGUGAUGCUAAACGCCCGGACCAAUGGUUCCCUUCGGGGGGCCGGCGGCGAGCGCGUGACCCGAUCCGGUAGUAGUCAAGCGAUGGGGUGACACAGGAAGGUAGCUCCGCCAGUCAGUGGUAAUACUGGUGUAAGGGUGUAGGUAGCGUGGAUAGGCAAAUCCGUCUGCGUGUUGAUCUGAGACCUGACGCAUAGCCGAUUGAGGCGAAGCAGAGUGAUCCUAUGCUGUCGAGAAAAGCCUCUAGCGAGCUUCGAGCGGCCCGUACCCCAAACCGACACAGGUGGUCAGGUAGAGAAUACCAAGGUGAUCGAGCGAACUAUGGUUAAGGAACUCGGCAAAAUACCCCCGUAACUUCGGGAGAAGGGGGACCGAGGUGUGUGAAGCCCCUUGCGGGCUAGCAUGUUUUGGUCGCAGAGACCAGGGAGAAGCGACUGUUUACUAAAAACACAGGUCCAUGCGAAGUCGCAAGACGAUGUAUAUGGACUGACGCCUGCCCGGUGCUGGAAGGUUAAGAGGACCGGUCAAUCACUUCGGUGGUGAAGCUGAGAAUUUAAGCCCCAGUAAACGGCGGUGGUAACUAUAACCAUCCUAAGGUAGCGAAAUUCCUUGUCGGGUAAGUUCCGACCUGCACGAAUGGCGUAACGACUUCUCUACUGUCUCAACCAUAGGCUCGGCGAAAUUGCAGUACGAGUAAAGAUGCUCGUUACGCGCGGCAGGACGGAAAGACCCCGGGACCUUUACUAUAGCUUGGUAUUGGUGUUCGGUUCGACUUGUGUAGGAUAGGUGGGAGACUGUGAAGCGAUAACGCCAGUUAUUGUGGAGUCAACGUUGAAAUACCACUCUGGUCGUACUGGAUAUCUAACUUAGGUCCAUGAUCUGGAUCAGGGACAGUGCCUGGUGGGUAGUUUAACUGGGGCGGUUGCCUCCUAAAGAGUAACGGAGGCGCCCAAAGGUUCCCUCAGCCUGGUUGGCAAUCAGGUUUCGAGUGUAAGUGCACAAGGGAGCUUGACUGUGAGAGGGACAUCUCGAGCAGGGACGAAAGUCGGGACUAGUGAUCCGGCGCCACAUUGUGGAAUGGGCGUCGCUCAACGGAUAAAAGGUACCCCGGGGAUAACAGGCUGAUCUUGCCCAAGAGUCCAUAUCGACGGCAUGGUUUGGCACCUCGAUGUCGGCUCGUCGCAUCCUGGGGCUGGAGUAGGUCCCAAGGGUUGGGCUGUUCGCCCAUUAAAGCGGCACGCGAGCUGGGUUUAGAACGUCGUGAGACAGUUCGGUCCCUAUCCGCCGCGCGCGUAGGAGUCUUGAGGAAGGCUGUCCCUAGUACGAGAGGACCGGGACGGACGAACCUCUGGUGUGCCAGUUGUUCCACCAGGAGCACGGCUGGUUGGCUACGUUCGGAAGGGAUAACCGCUGAAAGCAUCUAAGCGGGAAGCCUGUUCCAAGAUGAGGACUCCCACCCUUAAGUGGGGUAAGGCCCCCGGCAAGACCACCGGGUUGAUAGGCCAGAAGUGGAAGCACCGUAAGGUGUGCAGCUGACUGGUACUAAUAGGCCGAGGACUUACCGCA
rnacentral:rRNA from 1 species